rnacentral:rRNA from 1 species
UGGCUCAGGAUGAACGCUGGCGGCGUGCCUAAUACAUGCAAGUCGAGCGCAGGAAGCCGUCUGAACCCUUCGGGGGGACGACGGUGGAAUGAGCGGCGGACGGGUGAGUAACACGUAAAGAACCUGCCCAUAGGUCUGGGAUAACCACGAGAAAUCGGGGCUAAUACCGGAUGUGUCAUCGGACCGCAUGGUCCGCUGAUGAAAGGCGCUCSUGGCGUCGCCCAUGGAUGGCUUUGCGGUGCAUUAGCUAGUUGGUGGGGUAACGGCCCACCAAGGCGACGAUGCAUAGCCGACCUGAGAGGGUGAUCGGCCACACUGGGACUGAGACACGGCCCAGACUCCUACGGGAGGCAGCNNUAGGGAAUCUUCCACAAUGGACGAAAGUCUGAUGGAGCAACGCCGCGUGAACGAUGAAGGCUUUCGGGUCGUAAAGUUCUGUUGUAAGGGAAGAACAAGUGCCGCAGGCAAUGGCGGCAC